rnacentral:misc_RNA from 1 species
CGCACCUUGCGCUCCUUGGUAUUCCGAGGAGCAUGCCUGUUUGAGUGUCAUUAAAUUCUCAACCCCUCCAAGUUGUCAUGACUUUGGUUGGGGCUUGGAUAUGGGAGUUUGCGGGUCCUUUGUUAAUAAGGUCGGCUCUCCUGAAAUACAUUAGCGGAACUGUUUGCAGUCCCCGUCACUAGUGUGAUAAUUAUCUACACUGUGAAUAGAUUGCUCUCUGAGUUGUUCAGCUGCUAAUCGUCCAGUGACAUGGACAAAAAUGAUGACUAUCUUGACCUCAAAUCAGGUAGGACUACCCGCUGAACUUAA